CAGGAAACAACGGGAAACUCGGGGCAUCUACCUAUUACAAGAAACGCACAAGAGAGAACGCGGGGGCCGAAACAUCGGGGCAAGACAAGAAAGAAGGAAAAAGAAAGAAAACAGUAAGGUUUGCGGAAAAUCUAGAGCAGGUUCGCAUCUAUGAGGUUGAUACCAACAAGAGACUAAAGCCUGUUCCUAAAAGAAAGAAGAGAAGAUCCUGUUGCCGCCCCCGCUGAAGGAAGUGCUGACCUCUGAUAUCUAGACCAGUCCAGGUGGAACCCUUAUGGAGCACCCUGUAAAUUAGUAUAAUGGUGGGAAUCACUAUCUAUCUGCAUGUGCAGAGCGAUGCUUAGAUCCGGUGUCCAGUACUAAGUGUUUAGCCUUGUCAGACUACCGCUUAGUAAGGGUCGGCGGAUCUAAGCAUCGUGUCCUACCAUUAUACCGCUCCAUAAGGACUCCACCUGAAAUUGUUUAGAUAUCAGCAGUGUUAUAGAUAAGCUAAUGCAUCAUAAAUAAUAAAAAAACAGCAUUUGCCCCA